rnacentral:rRNA from 1 species
UACGUAGGGGCCUAGCGUUGUCCGGAUUUAUUGGGCGUAAAGAGCUCGUAGGCGGUUCGGCAAGUCGGAUGUGAAAUCUCCACGCUUAACGUGGAGGGGCCAUUCGAAACUGCCGUGACUCGAGUCCGGUAGGGGAGUGUGGAAUUCCCGGUGUAGCGGUGAAAUGCGCAGAUAUCAGGAGGAACACCGGUGGCGAAGGCGGGUCUCUGGGCAGUAACUGACGCUGAGGAGCGAAAGCGUGGGGAGCGAACAGG